rnacentral:rRNA from 1 species
UACAGAGGGUGCAAGCGUUACUCGGAAUUACUGGGCGUAAAGCGUGCGUAGACGGUUACUUAAGUCGGGUGUGAAAGCCCCGGGCUCAACCUGGGAAUUGCAUUCGAGACUGCGUAGCUAGGGUGCGGAAGAGGGAAGCGGAAUUUCCGGUGUAGCGGUGAAAUGCGUAGAUAUCGGAAGGAACACCAGUGGCGAAAGCGGCUUCCUGGUCCAGCACCGACGAUCAGGCGCGAAAGCGUGGGGAGCAAACAGG